UACAGAGGUCUCAAGCGUUGUUCGGAUUCAUUGGGCUUAAAGGGCGCGUAGGCGGCGGUGUAAGUUGGAAGUGAAAUCCCAUCGGCUCAACCGUGGAAUUGCUCCCAGUACUGCAUCGCUCGAGGGGGAUAGGGGUUUGCGGAACUACCGGUGGAGCGGUGAAAUGUGUUGAUAUCGGUGGGAACGCCAGUGGCGAAAGCGGCAAACUUGACCCUUCCUGACGCUGAGGCGCGAAAGCUAGGGGAGCAAACGGG
rnacentral:rRNA from 1 species